UUUUUAAAUGGUUGAGCUUAUCAAG
rnacentral:piRNA from 1 species